rnacentral:lncRNA from 1 species
GUUUCUGGCCCUGCCAGUGUCUCCGCCGGUUGAAAGCGCGUGUCUGCGUCGGGUUCUGUUGGAGUGCGUUCGGUGCGCCGUGGGUCCGCGCUGCUUCCACCCAACUUCCUGUUAGGUAAGAGGCGCGUGAGGCUCCUGUGCCGGGGGCGGUGCUGCUCCCGAGUCGGCGCGCGGCGGGGACGCGAGUCCGUAGGUGCUGGCGGGAGCGAGAGUCGGGUGGGGACCCUCGCGAGCCCGCACUCCGCCUCUGGGUAGCAGCCUCUUCGGCCCCACACGGCGUGACGCGCGCUCGGGCUCCGCGUUCGCGUCGAGGCAGAGGCGUAGUAGGGGUCGGGCCCAGGGCUGGAGGGGCCGGGACCGGGCGGGGUGCCGCCCUGGACACCGCGCCGGCAGCUGUUCCGCGCGGGUUCAUGUCAUUCCUAUUUUCAACCUGUCCUGCUCCGCACCUGAGAUGAUUUAUAAAUUCGGUACCUUUGGGACAGGCGUGGAUGACAUCCCAUAAUUUACUUCGUUAUUAAUUUCUAAAUGUAAUACAUACCACUCUCUAAAAGUAUUUUUUAAUUUGAAAUAUAUUUGUAUAUAUGUACAUAUAUAUUUAUUUAUUUCUGAAUUUUGUCUCCAGUACAUAUAAUGAGGCUUGUAAAGUGGAUAGUGUUCAGGACAUAGGUGGAUUUUGCUUUUAAGUAGUAAAGACUUAAUUGGUGACUUACUGGGGCUAUUUGAUAAGGAUUUUUUUUUUUAAAUGAACAUUAAAAACAGUGAAAUUGUAUUUCCGGAUUUCAUUAGCUUCAUUUAUAUCUUAAUUGGUGAAAACUGUAAGUUAAUAACUCAUUUUUAUUUCCUUUGGAGAUUCUUAAGUUUGUGCUACCAAUGAUUAUUUCCAAAAAAAGGCACACUUCUGGUUUUCCCAGAACUAAUGCUAGCUUCUCAAUCUUUUGAGUUUACUUGAUAUUAAUGUUUGACCUCAAAUCAUGUCACAUUUUUGAAGAAAACUUUCUCUUAGCCAGUGGAACAUAAACCACCCUGGAGUUCAUAUAGAGGAGGGGUUCAAAUGCCUCUGAUAGUGUCGUGUUAAAACUCAUGGCCAAACCCAAGGUCACAUAGCUUUCUUUCCAUGUUUUCCUCUAGAAUUUGUAUAGUUUUGUCAUUAUAAAAUGGGUCUUGUCCUAGACCCCAAGAACAGGUUUUUGGAUUUCACAUGGGAAAGACCUUUUGGCAAGUCACAGAGUAUAGUGAAGUUAAGAUAGUUUAUUAGCAACUACUCAGCUACAUAGCAGGGCGUCCUCAGAAAGCAAGAGGAGGAAUGCACCUGUUGUAAACAUAUAAUUUUUUUUUGAAACAGUUUCUCUCCUGUCACAAUGGCAUGAUCUCGGCUCACUGCGACCUCUGCUUCCUGGGUUCAAGGAUUCUCCUGCCUCAGCCUCCCAAGUAGCUGGGAUUACAGGUGCGUGCCAAUAUACCCGGCUAAUUUUUUGUAUUUUUGGUAGAGACUGGGCUUCACCAUGUUGGUCAGGCUGGUCUGGAACUCCUGGCCUCAAGUGAUCUGCCUGCCUCGGCUUCCCAAAGUGCUGGGAUAACAGGCAUGAGCCACCCGGCGCCCGGGCUUAAUGUUUGUUUAUAUAGGUUAUUAAGAAUCAGUUUGUGACAGGCUAUUAGUAUUGUUACUUCUCUUUGUUACUGUCGAUUUUAACAUCAAUUUAUGUGUGUACUAUUACCUUUAAAGUAAAACUUAUUUUUAAACUAAGAAUGCUGAGUGGUGUGCUGUGUGGGUGUACUGUGCUGGUGUUCUAUGCAGGUGUAUUAUGCAUGUGUGCUGUGAAAGUGUAUUGUGGGGGUAUAUUAUGUAGGUGUGCCAUGCAGGUGUAUUGUACAGGUGUGCUGUAUAGGGGUGGUAUGCAGGUAUAUUGUGCAGGUGUGCUGUGUAGGUGUAUUAUAUGGGCAUGCAGUACAGGUGUGCAGCAUCUGAGCUCCGUCUUCACCUUAAUCCCGAACACUCUUUUCACCUCUCACCUGCACUGCAGUGCUGUUUCCUGGAUCACACUUUUUUGUUUGUUUGUUUAAUUCCUCCAGGAGAAUGAGUGUAUAGGAAAUAAGGAUUUCUCUUCACAUUUUACUUGACUAACAGUUUCUCUGGUUAUAGAAUAUAUUUUGGAUUUAAAGCUCUCUCUGAAUUUUGAAAACACUGUUUCAUUUUCCGCUUGCCUCCUAUGUUGUUCUAGAGAAGCUCAAUCGCAAUCUCGUCCCCCAUCCUCAAGCGAUACACUUCUUUUUUCUUUAUUAUCUUGAAGCAUUCAGGGUCUUUUCUUCAUUUUUGGCUUUCUGAAAUUGCAGGACAAUAUGAUGUAGGUUCGUUUUUAUCUCUGUGCUAGCUCUUUUCAUUUGGAAACCUGUGUUGCGUUCUGAAUGCUGUGGUCUGAAAGUGUACCUUCAAAUUCAUAUGUUCACACUUAAUGGCCAAGGUGAUAGUAUUGAGAGGUGGGGCCUGAAGGACGUGGCUAAGUCACAAGGGCAGAGCCUUCACAGUGGGAUCAGUGCCCUUAAGGAAGGGCUGAGGGCCUGGGUUUGCCUUUUUACCUUUUCACCUCCUGCCGCGUGAGGGCCCAGCCACAAGGUACCAUCUGGGAAGCAGAGUCCCAACCCUUGCCAGACACUGAGCCCACUGGUGCUUUAUCUUGGACUCCCAGCCUCCAGAACUGUGAGAGAUAAAUUUCUGUUUUUUAUAAAGUACUCAGUCUCCUGUAUUUUGUUGGAGCAGUACAAAUGGAGUAAAACACUAAGACAUUUUCUGGAAUUCUUUGAUUGAUAAUUUUUUCUUCUCAGUCUUUUAUCUUGUCUCUUCCUUGAACACAUUAUUUCUGGUGUUGAACAUUCCAGACCACUUCUCCAAUUUUCUUAUACUUUUUUCUCCUAUUUUUCACCUUUUAGAUCUCUUUUUGUUGUUGAUUUACUUUCUGUGAGGUUUACCAACUUUAUCUAGUACAAGUUUUAUGGAAUUUAAAAAUUGUUUCAGAGUUUAAGUUCCCAGAUCCUCUUUUUUUAACUGUUCAUUUUUCAUGACUUCCAGUUCUUUAGUGGUGACGUAUCUUUUCUCUCUGAAGACAGUAUUUACAGUUACUGGAAUUCCUUCCUGCUCUCCACCUGUCUUUGGUCUGUUUUCCUUUUCCCGUUUUGAUCUCUGUCCUUCAUGGUGCAUCCUCCUGUUGACUCCUGACCAUCUGUUCACAUGGGGCUGCUGUGGGGUGACCGGGCCACGCAGUCUCCCUUGGCAGCUCUCAGCUGUCUGUAUCCGUCAGCAUUUUCUCUUGGUCUGGUCAGGUUUUCCCAGAGGGGACAGUCCGUUCUCCAGCCUGGGACAGAGGUCAGGGACACAUGUGCUCCCUCCCUGGGUUGGCUCUUUAUAUGGUGAGUGGCAACUGGUUUUGGACCUCUCUCUUGCAGGCUGGGUCUGUGGGAUGUAAUUAGAAAGCAACUUUAUUUCUAUUCACUUACAUUUAUUCAUUGGAGGAGGAGUUUCUCUUUCCUAGGGUACACGUGGACAUGCCUAUGACUUUUCUGCUUUGUCUUAUGUUUAAAAAUGUCCUUCAGUCAUUGCAGGUCACAAGCAGGCUAUCAGCUCAGUAAUUAAAAUAAUUCGGUUCUUCAUAGUGAAUGUAAUUCUAAAUUAGAUUUUAAGUUGUAACUCCCUGCUUCAGCAAUGGUGAUGGGGCCUAGAAACCAGAGCACCUGAGCUCCAUCCUACAGGGGGCCAUACCGGGAUCUUUCCAUUUUCAGAGGCUUCUCUCUGACAGUGAAGUGUGAUGACAGACUUGGGGGCAGGGCAAUGGCUAGCUUCUGAAAGCCGCUGGCACUUUAGUGAUAAAUUUAAAUUAAGUGACGGGUAGUGAGGUGUUUGUCAAGGAAAGUGCCGUCCAAAUGCUAAAUACUGAUUAUUUCUGCAGCAGUGACUGCAAUACCUCACUCAAUCUCUGUCUUUCUUGAAGAAGUCAUAAAUAAACACGAUGAAUCUAUGUAGAAGCGGUAAGUCAGAAAAAUCUGUGUGUUUCAUUACAUAAACAACGGUUUAUCAUUAAUUGACAGGCUUGGAUUGGGAGUUGUUAAUGAAACUGAUGAGAUGUUGGACAGAUGAGCUCCCUCUUAUUUCGAAGAGCUUAUCUAGGGCUGAGUCAUGGGACCUGAUAGCGUCUUGUGGUGCUGUCUUCUUGUAGAUAUAUCCGUGUUUUAGAGGAUUUAGUUUUUUAAAAUUUCUCUUAGAAUGUGAAUUUUACAAAAAAGCACUUCCCAAAUGGAUGAUUAUUUGAAAAAUGAAUUGUCAGACAAAACUGACACAUCAGUUAUGGAGAAAACCCUUCAAGAACUGGCUUUAAAUGUGUUUUAGUGGGAGCCACAGUGUGGAGAGAAACAGAAGAGGGAGGAGAGGGCGCCCCUUGUUUCUUCUCUCCACAGCCAGGCCUUCGCCACCUUUCUCAGUGUCUUCAAGAAUAAAAUGCCUCCGUUGUUGGUUUUAGCUGCUUUUCUCCCUCGGGGUAGGUAAAGUGGUUCCAAAACGACAAGCAUCCUGUAAAGUCGGAAGAGCUGUGUCAACAUUAAGCUGCGUGACUUUGGCUAUGAGGGAAAAAAGGCUGGUGAGUGCAGAGAAGACAGAGCUGUGGCAGGGCUCCUCCCGCCAAGUCGCCAUGGAGAGGGGCUGUGAGGUGUCCUUAAACGGCCUGGUCUCCAGGGUGACUCAGGAAGGGCUGAGAGUGGUCAGCUCCCUCACCUGCUAAACCCGCAGCGCCCCGCUCAGCACACACCCUCCACUCUCCAACCUUGCCCAAGUGCUGGUCCGUCACGGCACCAGGACAGGGCAUGGAGACUUGGGCUGAUUCUUUUCUCUCCCUUCCUCCCUCUUUUUUUUCUUCUCUCACUCCUCCUUUUCCUUUCCUGCUGUUUCCUGCUCUCCUGUUUCUGUCCUGCAGUGUCUGGAGCUCCAGAGAGGCUGGCCCUGGGGUGGGGUCCACAUGGACAUGGGCGUAAGCAGGUUUGAUGGUCAUGGGCAUAGGCAGGUUCGAUGGCCAGAGUUCUUUCAGCUCACAGUAAGUUUUGUUUUGUUUUGUUUUGUUUUGUUUUGUUUUGUUUUGUUUUAGAUGGAGUCUUGCUUUGUCGCCCAGGCUGUAGUGCAGUGGCGUGAUCUUGGCUCACUGCAGCCUCCACCUUAGAGCAAUCCUCUUGCCUCAUCCUCCCGGGUAGUUGGGACUACAUGUGCAUGCCACAUGCCUGGCUAAUUUUUGUAUUUUUAGUAGAGACACGGUUUCACCAUGUUGGCCAGGCUGGUGUCCAACUCCUGACCUCAGGUGAUCCAUCCGCCUCAGCCUCCCAAAGUGCCGGGAUUACAGGUAUGAGCCACUGCACCUGGCCUCAGCUGACAGUAGGUUUUAGAGCCAGAUAUUUACACACUAACUUGCCAGAAACAUAUAUGACUUUAUUAUUCUAAUUGAUUUUAAGAGAUAUUAUGAACUCAAAUCCAAAGUUACGUCCCACCUAUCAUGACAAUUUCAUUAAGGAAAAAGUCAAACCAUUUUGGAAAUGAUUUAAGUGAGCAACUUGGAAAAAUUUUCUACAUUCCUAACUUACUUUCCAGGGGAUCGUUCCUGACUUAACAUCUAUCAGGUGUCUUAGCUUAGCUCUCUUUUUACUUCAGGUUUUUCUUGCCUCCUCAGUGUGCUGGGAGUCCCACUCCACUCAAAUGCCCUCAGGUCUAAUAAUUAACUUCAUUGCAGGCUCCUGGCAGGCCUGGGUGGGCGGCAGCUGCAUUGUGCUCCUGAAGAAGAUUUAAGUUGGGUUUGGUGAACUGGUAGAAUUUGCAUUUUGCUGUUUCUUUCCCUCUCCCAGAAUUUGUACCUUUAAAUAGGUUUUUUAGUGUCAUUAAGUAUAUCAAAAGGAAACCCAGUGGGGCAAAUUGGCCGGGCUCCAUAGAGGUGGCCUUGUCUAAGCCUUUCAUCUUAUCGAUAAGGAAAGACAGGACCAGAGAAGUCGCCGACUGUCCCUGGUCCCACUGCUUGGUUUGGGGCAAUUUCCUGAAAAUAAUAUCCAAGAUGCAAAGCAUAUGGCUCUGGUGAGACAUGUGUGAGGAGCUGAGAAUGAGACGGCUGAGUGUCGGGGGCAGAUCACGAAGGGCUGCGCUCACCAUCAGGAGGUCUGGACUUCGCUGUGAAAGACACAGGCCCUCAUGUACGUCCAGGAUGCGGUGACAGCGAGGCUUGCAGGAGACAGGUCCCUGCUGUGUGGGGGUGAAGCUGGAGGCAAGAUGAUGCCUGGAGCUAAGAGAUGGUCACAGGAAAUCCGGCAAGAAUUAACGAGGACUGGACAGUGACAGGCAGGCCAAAGAGUGAGAGGAACUUCACUGGCAAGAGCCAACAGGGCUUGUUGAUUUAGGAGAGGAGACAAAGGACUGAGGGGUUUGGGGGCUGGGGCCUGGGAGGGUGGAGAAGCCACUGUCUGCAUUAUGGGAUGCAGGAGGAGAAGCAUUCAGUUCUCCACACAAUGAGUUCCCUGAGAGGUGUCUCAGUGGGAUCGUGGUGCAGUUGGAAAUGUUCAUGAGAAAGAUGAGAAGCGGCACCAGCAGCAAACAUCCAGGAACCCAGAAACCAUCAGCACAGGUGCCUGCUGAGUCCCAUAGACCCACUAAUGGCCCACCAGGACCAACCAGGAAGCAAGUGUGGAGCUGGGAGUGAGGGAGCUGGGUGUGGAGAUCAGGGGGAAGACUGUCAUCUAAAGGGCGAGAGUGGGAAGGAUGGAGUCAUCUGUAGCUACAGGGAACCACCAUUAGUCAGUCCUUGUGAUGAAGGUGCAAGAUGUUCCUGCUUCCGCGCACGUCGCUCCUGGGCUGUGGGCAAGUUUGGAACUGCUGUUGUUCCCCAGCAUAGUCUCAAGCGAGUGGAAUGACGGUUUCCUAUAGAAGCACAGUUCCUACAGGAAAGAAGGCGUGGUUAAGAGCAUGAGGGCCAAGGAAAAGGAGGGGAUUAGAGAUAGCCAGCAGUGAGGGAGACGGUUCCAGACACGAGCCGAGUGGGCAAAGCAGGGAAUUCAAGAGAGAGAGGAGCAUAUAUUACGCAAAUUUUAAAUUUUUUGGUAGCAAGCAACCUAGCAAAACUAGCUGAAUCCAAAGGGGAUUUAUUGGCUCACAUCAUAAAAAUCUAGUGAAAGAUUCUAGCUGAAGUCAUAACUAGAUAUACGAGUUUAAAUAAUUUUGUCAGAAACUGUUUCUUUGCUGCUCAUCCACCUAUCCAUCCACCCAUCUAUCCAACCCUCCCUCCCUCCAUCCACCCAUCCACCCACCUACCCACUCACCCGUGUCUUUAUCCAUUGAUCCACGUGCACAUCCAUCCUUUCAUCUCUACUUUCCUCCAUCCCUCUCCCUUGCCUCCCUCCCCAUCCAUCUGCCCAUCCCUCCAUCCACCUCUUCAUCUCUCCUUUCCUCCCUCCCCCAUCCCUCCACCCCCUGUUCACCCACCCAUUCAUCCAUCCCUGCAUCUUUCCGUCCACUUCUCUGUCUUCUUGUCUCUGCUUCUCUUUGUAUUUUGUUCUCACUAUUCUCUAUUUCAUAAGGCUUCCUGAAAGCGGCAUCCAUUUAUUCCUUGUAGCAAGAUCCCUAGAGAAAGACUCAUAAUUUAUCUCUCAGUGUUCAUAAACUCUCAGGGCAAGUUUUAUUUGGCCUGACUUGGAUCACCUGCCAAUAUCUGAACGGAUUGCACACCCAGGUAAUGGAGUAUUUUAAUCACUGCAGACCCCCCACCCUCACCUGACCAGUGCCCCACAGCAGGACCACGAGCAGGGCCAAGGUGUCUCCAAGGUGCUGAGGAGCUGAGCGCUCAGCCAGCCCACGGCCACGAUGGUGUGCCUCCGAAGCCACGCGGCUUACUUCACAGCCAGGAUCCGGGAUCAGGCUAUGUCCCAUGCAGCCUGAUGAAGGGUAAAAAAGAGCCCAAUGCAGAGUGCUGGGGAAGCAUAGAGAGAGCCGGGGCACCUGACCCAGCCUGGGACGGUCAAGGGUGACUGCCGUGCAGGAGUUGGCAUCUGAGCUGUUCCUUAAUUAGAAAGCCUGGCACAGAAUGAAGAAUGCAUUCCUCAAACUGAGUCAGGGUGCAGGGAUCCACAUGACCGUGCUCCUCUUAUCCUUAGGAAGGGACAAGAGACUUCUAUCCUUUGGCCUGCAGCUGCUGAAAUGACCCUUGCAAGUACUGAAUCAUCUUUAAUGAAAAAAUACACUAAUAUGCUGCAAAUUUGGAGCUUAUCCUUUCAGUCCAAUCCAUGGGGAAGGUGUGAAUUAAAGACCCUGUGCGUGUGCUGGAGGCAUCGUGGACUUUUGUUCACGAUUUCCUUUCCUUUUGAUGCUUCAGUUAUGGUGGUUGCAGCUCUAUAAGCUGUGUGAUAUGGGCAAUUCCUCUCACCUUUUGACCACUAUUUUUCUUACUAAUGAAAUGAAUACAUACAAGAAUACUUGAAGUUUAAAUAAUGAAACAUCUGAUACUCACAGGCACUACAGUAUUGGCUGAAUUCUUAAGUGACUAUAGGACACCUUUAAGCAUGUUCUAGGGCAGGAUAACCAAGGACACCAUCUCACGUGCCAGGAAAUGAGGGGCCUGUGUCCAAUAAGUCCCUGGCUCCAUGUGGCUCUGCUGUUGCCCACUUCUCUUGGACCCUGGUUGUGGUCUUCCCUUGCCACGGGGCCUUUGCUGGUGAUACUCCCUCUGCCUGGAGUACCUCCAUAAUGUCCACUGCUGGGGCCUUGCCCAUAUUCUCUACAUGUGGCACUGCAGUGCCCCCCCAGCCAGCUCCCAGGGGCCAGUGCCCCCAGUUCCUUGUCCAAGGUCUUUGUCCCGCAGCUAAAACCCAAUCUGCUGCCACCGGCUCCAUCCACAGGCAAAAGUUCCCGGGAAUAAAUGCGUCAGGGCACAGCCCUCAGGAGACCUUGGUUACGGACAUCUAUCCAUCUCCUCGCCCUCUGGGGUGAAUACAUCUCAGGUGCACUCUUUUGGGUGUUUCUUUUUGCUUUUGUUGUUUGCAUUGGCUCCCAGAGUCUGACAGUGGCAGAAGGCUCCAGCUGCCCACAGUGGUGACUGGUUUUAAGCGUACCCUUUGUUGGCCAUCUUCCUCUCUCUUGGAAAUAAACAGCCUGCACUCCAAUCCUUGUCACAGGGUCAGCUCCUGAGGGAUCUUCUUGGCCUUGCUAAUGCUGGCUUAUCCUUCAGAAUUUAGCUUCCAUUUUCACUUCUUCAUGGGAGUCUUCUUGAGUAUAGUCUCCUCGUCAUGUCUGCCGCUUCUUCCUGAGUCAGGGAAUAUCUCUUAGGCCAUAUCUAUUAUAGUCGUGGUCUGACUUAUAUUUGUGGUCAAUUUUUUUUUCUUAAUUUUUCGUAGAGACGGGGUCUCACUAUGUUGCCCAGGCUGGUCUCAAACUCUAAGUGAUCCUCCUGCCUCAGCCUCCCAAACUGCUGGGAUUACAGGCUUGAGCCACCAAGCCUGGCCUAUGUUUGUGGUCUCUUUGACUAAAAAUGAUCUUUUCUUCUAACCUGAAAUCUCCUGAGGGAUGGAACUUUGUGUCUCUUUGGUUUAUCCCAGCAUAUAAAUAGUUACGCAUUUUUGAAUUAACAAAUGAGCACAAAUUUGUAUCAAAUUAUUAUCUAGGACAAGCAGUGGAAAAAAAUUUCUGCUGUUGAAGGGUGAAGACGUGGGUAGGUAAUAUAUAAAGGAAUGAGCAUGUCUGGAUGUUCCAAUAAAAUUUUAUUUUCAAAAAUAAGCAGCAGAGGAGAGCUUCUGGAAUGGUGGUGUGAGGAGCUUGGCAGGCCCUCUAUCCAGGGAAAUAACCAUUUAACCUCCGAACAUUCAUUUUUUUAAAACUAGAAAUUAUCCUAAAGGCAUACAGCAGGUGGAUAAAUAUUUACUCAAAUAAAUAAUCAAAUCUCAGUAAGAACGGUAAGGAUCAGUGGUAUCAGAGCCACAAUCCACCGCUCCCCACCCUCAAAGCGCAUUGUGAUGAAAGCUCUGCUCCAGGAAGGCCACCAGCAUCUCUCAUCCCUCUCAGUUUGCACUGCAGAAGCACCGUUCCAGGAAGUUGCAACUGAGAGGACUAGGGCUCCCCUGCUUCAGCCUGUGCUUGUCCUCAGAGGGUGGGAGCCCCAUCCCAGGUGUGGCAGACUGAGCACAUCUGCCUGGAUUGCCCCACACCAAGUCACUCACAGUGUGGAGGUUCCAUGUCUGGAGGGGCAAGCUAGGAAGACAAGAGGCUACCAUGCCCACCCAGCUACUGGCUCAUGCAGCAAGGGUGUCGCUCUGGUGGAACUGGAUCACGGUCCCCAGGAGCAGAGGAGACCUAAGAGCAGAGCAUGUCCCUGAGGUGACAGACUUUACUUGGAGAACAGCAUGCGGAAGUUCAAGCCCAAGGAAGUUGGCAAAAAUAGUGGAGAUUUUGUUGAUGAACAAUUAAGAGUGGGUGAAAUGGUAGACUAGAUAGAACUUAAACAGAGGGAACAAGGAAGAGAGAUUGUUGAGAAGAGCUCCGGGGUCUGAGCAGACUUGAAAAGCUGGCAACACUCUGCCCCUGCAAAAGAGCCUGAUGUUCACUGGAUGAGUCUAUGGAGCAAUUUGUGCCCCAGGCAUCAUAAAAAAUGAUAGAGCACUUGCAUUUAGUGGAUGUUAACAGCUGUGUGUGACACCAAAGAGAGACAGACCAGCAGAAGCUUAACAGAGAGCCCAGAGAAAACCACAGAUACCACAGGUGGUCGGAGAGACUGUGUGCUAGUCCAAGGCUGUGCCCUCUGAGGAGCAAUAUCAGAGCUACGUCCCUAAUCAAAUAAACAAGCAAUCAAACAGAAAUAGCAGCCCCUGCGGGUCGGGGUCAGAAUCCAGAUUUGCUAUGAUAUAUUACCUAAAAUGCCAGUUUCCACAAAAAUGCAAGAAAACAGGAAAGUGAGACCCAUGCUCAGGAAAACAGAAGGCAACAGAAACUAUGACAAAUUCCAGACAUCGGAUUAACAGACAAAGACAGCCAGUGUCAAAACAGCCACAGAAACAUAUUCAAGUUACUAAAGGAGACCAUGUUAAAAGAAUUAAAAGAAAUUAUGAUGACAGUGUCCCAUCUAAUAAGGAAU